AGCGAACGCUGGCGGCAGGCUUAACACAUGCAAGUCGAACGCCAUCUUCGGAUGGAGUGGCAGACGGGUGAGUAACGCGUGGAAACAUACCUUUUGCUUCGGAAUAUUCCCGGGAAACUGGGAGCAAUACCGAAUACGCCCUGAGGGGGAAAGAUUUAUCGGCAAAAGAUUGGUCCGCGUUAGAUUAGGUAGUUGGUAGGGUAAUGGCCUACCAAGCCUACGAUCUAUAGCUGGUCUGAGAGGAUGAUCAGCCACAUUGGGACUGAGACACGGCCCAAACUCCUACGGGAGGCAGCAGUGGGGAAUAUUGGACAAUGGGUGAAAGCCUGAUCCAGCCAUGCCGCGUGAAUGAUGAAGGCCUUAGGGUUGUAAAAUUCUUUCACCGGGGACGAUAAUGACGGUACCCGGAGAAGAAGCCCCGGCUAACUUCGAGCCAGCCGCCGCAGUAA
rnacentral:rRNA from 1 species